UCUACAAAAAAAUAUAAAAAAGAAAAUAACAAGAAACGAGGAAGGAAGAGGGGCAGCGUUAACGGAGGUAAGGUCCUGGUCAGAGAAGAAGGGGGGGAAGAAAGGAAAAAGCUAAUGACACACGGAGGAAGAAACAGCAUUCAUGGAGGUCUAAAUGUCGUCGUGCUCUCGCUCCCAUACUCCGGAAAAGCUUCAUCCUCUCCGGCAAACAACCAUUAUUUGCUAAUGUUUGGUUACAAUGAAGGAUCUCCUAGAUCUUGCCGGAUUUUCGAAUGGUAAAUAUAAAGUAAAUACAAUAUAAUCUUAGAUCUGGCAUGCUUUUUUUUUGUCUUUGUUGAUGAGAAGCCUAUGUCCCGACCCAGUUUAGGAUCAUGACUGCACUUAUGAGAAAAUGCCUCAAGUAAUCCUCAUCAGUAUUUUACAAAAAGCCGGAUAGAAUUUUCCCUAUUUUAGGACCAUCUAAAAUAUAUUUGCUUUAAAAUCAACAACACAAUGUUGGAAGAGGAUUGCUAUUAAUAUUUGGAGGGAGGCUUUUAGGCUAAGGGAAUUUUGG
rnacentral:lncRNA from 1 species